rnacentral:misc_RNA from 1 species
AUUAAUACAAAUGAUAACAUUGAUCUGAGCUAUCAACAUCUGAGUUGCUACCAUCUUCAUGACUUUCUUUCUUCACCACUUUCAUUUCUUGAACUGUACUUGUAUUGCUCUUUGGAGUUUCCUCUUUUAUCUUGUUAUGAUGUUCCUCUCUUUUUUUUCUCCAAUCACUCUUCCUUUUCCAUUGUCUCACUAACAAAAUCCCCAAACUUAAAA